CUCUUCCCAAACCUUGAUAAAGUGGUUUUCUUGGAUGACGAUGUUGUAAUUCAGCGCGACUUGUCUCCAUUGUGGGACAUUGACCUUAAGGGAAAGGUGAAUGGAGCUAUUGAGACCUGUAAAGGAGACGAUGAGUGGGUGAUGUCAAAGCGAUUCAGAAACUACUUCAACUUUUCUCAUCCUCUCAUAGCAAAACAUUUGAAUCUUAAGGGAAAGGUGAAUGGAGCAAUUGAGACCUGUAAAGGAGACGAUGAGUGGGUGAUGUCAAAGCGAUUCAGAAACUACUUUAACUUUUCUCAUCCUCUCAUAGCAAAACAUUUGAACCCUGAAGAGUGUGCAUGGGCUUAUGGGAUGAACGUCUUUGACUUGCAUGCAUGGAGAAAGACAAAUAUAAGAAACACUUACCAUUCAUGGCUUAAAGAGGUAGUCCAAUCCCACAUACUUCAUGAUUUUUAGCUAAUUUUUAGUUGUAUGAAUUCCUACACCUAUGGAUUAGUUUUCUAACCAUGCAAUAUGUGUAAUUAUUUAUCAUUCAAUGAAUGACUCUUUUUUCAUUUCUUGUAUGUUUCUUGCUUAUGUAUCUCGUCUAUUUUGUGACUUAUUUAGCUUUUCGUUCUGAAAUUUUCUUCU
rnacentral:lncRNA from 1 species